rnacentral:rRNA from 1 species
CCUACGGGUGGCAGCAGUGAGGAAUAUUGGUCAAUGGACGAGAGUCUGAACCAGCCAAGUAGCGUGAAGGAUGUCUGCCCUAUGGGUUGUAAACUUCUUUUAUCAAGGAAUAAAACGAGGCACGUGUGCCUUUUUGCAUGUACUUUAUGAAUAAGGAUCGGCUAACUCCGUGCCAGCAGCCGCGGUAAUACGGAGGAUGCGAGCGUUAUCCGGAGUUAUUGGGUGUAAAGGGUGCGGAGGCGGACUGUUAAGUCAGCGGUAAAAGCCCGGGGCGCAACCCCGGCGAGCCGUUGAAACUGGCUGUCUUGAGAUGUCGAGAGGUAUGCGGAAUGCGCGGUGUAGCGGUGAAAUGCUUGGAUAGUGCGCAGAACUCCGAUUGCGAAGGCAGCAUACCGGCGGCGAUCUGACGCUGAGGCACGAAAGCGUGGGUAUCGAACAGGAUUAGAUACCCUUGUAGUG